AUUGAACGCUGGCGGCAGGCCUAACACAUGCAAGUCGAACGGUAACAGGGAUCAGCUUGCUGAUUCGCUGACGAGUGGCGGACGGGUGAGUAAUGUCUGGGAAACUGCCUGAUGGAGGGGGAUAACUACUGGAAACGGUAGCUAAUACCGCAUAACGUCGCAAGACCAAAGAGGGGGACCUUCGGGCCUCUUGCCAUCGGAUGUGCCCAGAUGGGAUUAGCUAGGAGGUGGGGUAACGGCUCACCUAGGCGACGAUCCCGAGCUGGUCUGAGAGGAUGACCAGCCACACUGGAACUGAGACACGGUCCAGACUCCUACGGGAGGCAGCAGUGGGGAUUAUUGCACAAUGGGCGCAAGCCUGAUGCAGCCAUGCCGCGUGUAUGAAGAAGGCCUUCGGGUUGUAAAGUACUUUCAGCGGGGAGGAAGGGAGUAAAGUUAAUACCUUUGCUCAUUGACGUUACCCGCAGAAGAAGCACCGGCUAACUCCGUG
rnacentral:rRNA from 1 species